rnacentral:lncRNA from 10 species
GUUCACUAAAACUUGUUCUCUUGCAGGGUACGUAGAGUUCCACAUUUCCAGCCUGCUUGCCUUUAGGGGAACCCAUAACUUCAGUUCUAGUCAAUAAAAUGUGAAGGGACGUGAGGAGCAUCACUCCCAGACGGAGAUGGUAAAAACUAUCAUAUGAUCUCCCUGAGAUCUUUUCCCUGUCAUGUUGACUGAAACAGAAGAUGGAGACAGCCUGGACCUCUUGGGUCUCUGCUGAAAGGGAGUGCCCUGGAGAACCUCUGGACCUGUAGUGAACUUCAUGAAGAGACUGAGGGUCGGAUCAGUG